UGCGAGCUGGUGCAAGUGGGCAGCACAUCCCUCUCUGGAAGGGAAGGUGGAGGUUCGAGUCCUCCGCUCGCAG
rnacentral:tRNA from 1 species